GCGAACGGGUGAGUAACACGUGAGUAACCUGCCCCCGACUCUGGGAUAAGCCCGGGAAACUGGGUCUAAUACCGGAUAUGACCUCGCACCGCAUGGUGCGGGGUGGAAAGAUUUAUCGGUGGGGGAUGGACUCGCGGCCUAUCAGCUUGUUGGUGAGGUAAUGGCUCACCAAGGCGACGACGGGUAGCCGGCCUGAGAGGGUGACCGGCCACACUGGGACUGAGACACGGCCCAGACUCCUACGGGAGGCAGCAGUGGGGAAUAUUGCACAAUGGGCGCAAGCCUGAUGCAGCGACGCCGCGUGAGGGAUGACGGCCUUCGGGUUGUAAACCUCUUUCAGUAGGGAAGAAGCGAAAGUGACGGUACCUGCAAAAAAAGCGCCGGCUAACUACGUGCCAGCAGCCGCGGUAAUACGUAGGGCGCAAGCGUUAUCCGGAUUUAUUGGGCGUAAAGAGCUCGUAGGCGGUUUGUCGCGUCUGCCGUGAAAGUCCGAGGCUCAACCUCGGAUCUGCGGUGGGUACGGGCAGACUAGAGUGAUGUAGGGGAGACUGGAAUUCCUGGUGUAGCGGUGAAAUGCGCAUAUAUCAGGAGGAACACCGAUGGCGAAGGCAGGUCUCUGGGCAUUUACUGACGCUGAAGAGCGAAAGCAUGGGGAGCGAACAGGAUUAGAUACCCUGGUACUCCAUGCCGCAAAAGUUGGGCACUAGGUGUGGGGGACAUUCCACGAUU
rnacentral:rRNA from 1 species